rnacentral:rRNA from 1 species
UACGAAGGGGGCUAGCGUUGCUCGGAAUCACUGGGCGUAAAGCGCACGUAGGCGGCUUUUUAAGUCAGGGGUGAAAUCCUGGAGCUCAACUCCAGAACUGCCUUUGAUACUGAGAAGCUUGAGUCCGGGAGAGGUGAGUGGAACUGCGAGUGUAGAGGUGAAAUUCGUAGAUAUCGGGAGGAACACCAGUGGCGAAGGCGGCGAUCUGGGAACAUACUGACGCUGAGGUGCGAAAGCGUGGGGAGCAAACAGG